rnacentral:lncRNA from 1 species
GAUGAAAAAUGCAGAACGUUUUUCUAAAUGUGUAUGUUACGUUCAUUUGUGUUCAUUUAUGUUCAUAAACAUUUCUUUGUGUUCGUUUGCGUUCGUCUAAGUUCGGUAAGUGUCCAUGAACAUGUUCAUUUCCUUAAUGAACGAACAUGAACAAGAAAUCUCGUCCGUGAACCGUUCAUGAACAUGUUCAUUCCUUAAUGAUGUUCGUGUUCGUUUACAGCCCUUCAUAAAACUGGAGAUAAAGGAUGUUAAUAAUCUAAUAUUUUAUAGAAUAGGGAAGAAAUUCUUACUGUUAAAAGAUGAUUCGUCUGUAACAUCGUACACCAACAAAAUUCCCAUAGCUCCCCUAUAAUAAGCUGGAGUUUUUGGAGGGAAAAAAGAUUAUUAUACAAUUAUUUCAUGCAGGAUUUGAGCUACUGUUGAGUAAGGACCACUGAUCAUUUAAUCCAUGUUAAGUAAUUAUUGACAUUUUAAUAAAAUGGGGAAUUGGAUGCACAUCUCAUGAGCAAAUCACUACUUUUGUUCUUAAAUCUAGGGGGCUAAACCUGAGAGGUAGAUAUGUAGCUUAAUUUAAUAAAUAGAAAUUGCUACGAAUACCUCAUUUUUCUAAAAUUAUAUAUAGAUAUAUUGGUUAACCAAACCCAAUUAAAAACUGUUAAAAAAAUCAUUAUUAUGUUCAAAAUUAUAUAGAUAUGGCUCUCUUUUAUGUUCAACAAAAAAAAAAAAUUGUCAUUGAUGAUGUCAUCAUUUUGACUAUUUUUUUAAAUACCACUAUUAUGAGGUAUUUAACAAAAGAAAAAAAAUCACUAAUAAUUAACAUUAUUAAUUUAAAUAUACACUCAUUAUAUUAUGAAGUGUUUAGCAAAAAAGCUUACUUAUUAACUUAAUAUUAAUCAAAAUUAAAAUAUUUACACCUUAUAUUAGGAGGUAUUUAACAAAAAAAAUACUAAUUAAGUAACAUCCAAGAGUUAAUUAAAUAUAAUAAUAUUUGCAUAUAAUGAAUGUGUAUAACAAAGGUAUUUUUUUUCUUUUAACAAACUACAUGAUACAUUAUUUGAAAGUUCUCAUCAAUACCUUCAAAAUGAACCCACUAGUGACAUUAUUAAUUUUAUUUUUUUAUGAUUUUAUUAAAGAAGGAAAAUAGCACAACUGUUAAAAAAGCAACAUAUAUUUUCUUAGUAAACGAAUGAACGAUGAGGGGGGAGAAAGGUUCCGGUGUUCACG